rnacentral:rRNA from 1 species
AUUGAACGCUGGCGGCAGGCUUAACACAUGCAAGUCGAGCGGAGAGAGGUAGCUUGCUACUGAUCUUAGCGGCGGACGGGUGAGUAAUGCUUAGGAAUCUGCCUAUUAGUGGGGGACAACAUUUCGAAAGGAAUGCUAAUACCGCGUACGUCCUACGGGAGAAAGCAGGGGAUCUUCGGACCUUGCGCUAAUAGAUGAGCCUAAGUCGGAUUAGCUAGUUGGUGGGGUAAAGGCCUACCAAGGCGACGAUCUGUAGCGGGUCUGAGAGGAUGAUCCGCCACGCUGGGACUGAGACACGGCCCAGACUCCUACGGGAGGCAGCAGUGGGGAAUAUUGGACAAUGGGCGGAAGCCUGAUCCAGCCAUGCCGCGUGUGUGAAGAAGGCCUUAUGGUUGUAAAGCACUUUAAGCGAGGAGGAGGCUACUUUAGUUAAUACCUAGAGAUAGUGGACGUUACUCGCAGAAUAAGCACCGGCUAACUCUGUGCCAGCCGCCGCCGUAACAC